rnacentral:rRNA from 1 species
AUUGAACGCUGGCGGCAGACCUCAUACAUGCAAGUCGAACGAGAAAGUAUCUUCGGAUACAAGUAAAGUGGCGGACGGGUGAGUAAUACAUAGGAAUCUACCCAAUGGAGGGGGAUAGCUCGAGGAAACUCGAAUUAAUACCGCAUAAUCUCUAUGGAGCAAAGGGGGGCUUCGGCUCCUGCCAAUGGAUGAGCCUAUGCAAGAUUAGCUUGUUGGUAAGGUAAUGGCUUACCAAGGCAACGAUCUUUAGCUGGUUUGAGAGGAUGACCAGCCACAUCGGGACUGAGACACGGCCCGGACUUCUACGGAAGGCAGCAGUAGGGAAUAUUGGACAAUGAGCGCAAGCUUGAUCCAGUCAUGCCGCGUGUGCGAUGACGGCCUUAGGGUUGUAAAGCACUUUAGGUAACGAGGAAAAGUUAGGUGUUAAUACCAUCUAACCCUUGACG